rnacentral:rRNA from 1 species
GACGAACGCUGGCGGCGUGCUUAACACAUGCAAGUCGAACGGCAAGGCCCUGCUUUUGUGGGGUGCUCGAGUGGCGAACGUGUGAGUAACACGUGAGUAACCUGCCCUUGACUUUGGGAUAACUUCAGGAAACUGGGGCUAAUACCGGAUAGGAGCUCCUGCUGCAUGGUGGGGGUUGGAAAGUUUCGGCGGUUGGGGAUGGACUCGCGGCUUAUCAGCUUGUUGGUGGGGUAGUGGCUUACCAAGUCUUUGACGGGUAGCCGGGCUGAGAGGGUGACCGGGUACAGUUGGACUUAGAUACGGCCCAGACUCCUACGGGAGGCAGGAGUGGGGAUAAAUGCACAGGGGGCAAGAGCCGGAUGCAGCAACGCCGCGUGCGGGAAGACGGCCGUCGGGGUGUAAACCGCUUUCGCCUGUGACGAAGCGUGAGUGACGGUAAUGGGUGAAGAAGCACCGGCUAACUACGU